rnacentral:rRNA from 1 species
AUUGAACGCUGGCGGCAGGCCUAACACAUGCAAGUCGAACGGUAGCACAGAGAGCUUGCUCUCGGGUGACGAGUGGCGGACGGGUGAGUAACGUCUGGGAAACUGCCCGAUGGAGGGGUAUAACUACUGGAAACGGUAGCUAAUACCGCCUAACGUCGCAAGACCAAAGGGGGGGACCUUCGGGGCUCACACCAUCGGAUGUGCCCAGAUGGGAUUAGCGAGUAGGUGGGUUAAUGGCUCACCUAGGCGACGAUUCCUAGCUGGUCUGAGAGGAUGACCAGCCACACUUGAGCUGGGACACGGUCCAGACUCCUACGUGAGGCAGCAGUGGGGAAUAUUGCACAAUGGGCGCAAGCCUGAUGCAGCCAUGCCGCGUGUAUGAAGAAGGCCUUCGGGUUGUAAAGUACUUUCAGCGGGGAGGAAGGCGGUGAAGUUAAUAGCUUCACCGAUUGACGUUACCCGCAGAAGAAGCACCGGCUAACUACGUGCCAGCCGCCGCGGUAAUAC